rnacentral:rRNA from 1 species
GAGCCAGACUCCUACGGGAGGCAGCAGUGGGGAAUAUUGCACAAUGGGGGAAACCCUGAUGCAGCGACGCCGCGUGAGUGAAGAAGUAUUUCGGUAUGUAAAGCUCUAUCAGCAGGGAAGAAAAUGACGGUACCUGAGUAAGAAGCCCCGGCUAACUACGUGCCAGCAGCCGCGGUAAUACGUAGGGGGCAAGCGUUAUCCGGAUUUACUGGGUGUAAAGGGAGCGUAGACGGCGAUACAAGUCUGAAGUGAAAGCCCGGGGCUCAACCCCGGGACUGCUUUGGAAACUGUGUUGCUGGAGUGCUGGAGAGGCAAGCGGAAUUCCUAGUGUAGCGGUGAAAUGCGUAGAUAUUAGGAGGAACACCAGUGGCGAAGGCGACUUACUGGACUGUAACUGACGUUGAGACACGAAAGUGUGGGGAGCAAACAGGAUUAGAUACCCCAGUACCU